CAAGAAGAAAGCUGCUUUGUCUUGCUGCAGAACCAAUCUCAGCCAGAGACUUUAAAUCACUAAUACUGGAUCAAGCGGAUUUUUGACAAGCAUAGUCACUAACCUUCGCAUGAUUCCAUCGUUGGACAAAGUGUCUUGCUACAUCUCGACAAGGAGGUCCCCAAAGAGCACAGUGAACAUCAUGCCAUGGCAUUCGAGCAACACAUAAAACAUCCUGCUCCGGCAUCAUCUCUUUGGAUGUGAUUUAAAUGUUGAACCAAAACAUAGUCCUCUUUCAACUUUGGGCCAUACUCUGAAGAAAAGGAUAACUUUGAGACCUCCAGAAAUUGGCAAACCUGGCCCCAAGUUACAACCGAACCAAAAGCGUUGAAAGGAAAAAGUUUAAGAUUAAAGUUAUGGAGAACAAAAGAAAAUGCAGUUUGACAUAUGUGACAUAAGGGGAUCAGUGGUCCUAAUUUGAGUGCUUGAAGAUUAUAACCAAACAAAAAUAUGUAGAAUUAUAACAGAAACAUUUUGUAAGUACCUCACGAGAAUUCACAAUAUCUAUGUUGCCAAGAAAAUGGUUAAGAUAAUUCUGCAUUGCAACUUUUGCUUUUUCUGAAACUGUUGACCUCCCAAUUGAUGGUCUUAUAAUAGACAGAGCGACCCUGGU